AGCACCCUACCUUGUCCUCUGUGAAGGAGGCCACCCAAACUGUCUCACUGGUUCUAGGUACACAAAACCCAAAUCUGAGAAAUCCACUAGAUUGGCAGAAGCAAAGGGACUCAGUACCACAGGAAGUUCGCUUUUCUGUGUCACUAUAUCAAAAGCUACCACAAAUGCAGACAAUAACGGCUCUUUAAUAUUAAAGGGAAAAGCUAACCUGUCCAGCUACAGCAGCAAAGUAACCAUACAGCGGAUCCUGAGUUUGUCCGGGAAACGCAGGCCCUCCGGGAGCCCCUCCAUACUGUGAAACAGGAAACACAUACACGUCAUUCUGCCGAAUCAAGUUUUCUUCUUUCACCACUGAGGGCUUUUGUGCAAGGCCAGACAACUGCCCGCCUGCCCGCCCUUCACAAGGCUCACCUCCCCACCACCGGGCACACUCUGCCAACACUCCACCCCUCUCUUCCAUUCACACCCCGUAAUUUAAAAACUGGCGACUUAGACCAUAAAGAGUUGCUGUGAAAGUGAUGUCUACAUAUGUAAAGCAACUUUUAAAAUCCCUAUUAACCUGAAGGUUACUGAGGUUCUGGAAGCAG
rnacentral:lncRNA from 1 species